rnacentral:lncRNA from 1 species
AUGUGGCUGGUUUUACCCUUCCAGGUUGACAGUGGUGAUAAGAGAAAUCUAUUUGGGACUAUACUUCAGGCAAAGAGAAGAACUGAUGUUCAGACUUACAAAAGAGGUAGAACAUAUAUGCUUCCCAUUAUGCGAGAAAGAAACAGGCCUGAGAGUCUAAUGGAUUACUCAAGUCUAUGCUGCCAAGGAAGAACAGAAUCUUUAGUCUCUACUUUAAUCCUUUACAUCUUUCAAAAGCUGAUAUCCGUAUGAAGGACCAUAAAUCCUCCUUAAUAUCCUUGUGGAUGAUGGAAAGACUAGAAGGUAAGAAGAUAUUAAUUGGAAAUUAAAUAAUUUGGAAGAGGAGAACCCUACCUUUUGGCUGUCUAUAAAAUUAGGUUAUUGGACUAGACAACUUAAAAAUUCUAACAUGAGAAUGAUAGAUAAUCAAAUUAUCCUGCAUUUGGGAUUCAUGCUAAAUGAGCACAGGCAAACCUCACUUUAUUGUGCUUUGCUUUGUUGUGUUUUUCAGAUAUCAUGUGUUUUACAAAUUGAAGGUUUGUGGAAACCCUGCAUAAAGCAAGUCUGUUGGUGACAUUUUCCCAACAGCAUUUGCUCACUUUGUGUUUCUGUGUCACAUGUUAGUAAUUCUUACAAUAUUUCAAACCUUUUUAUUAUUAUAUCUGUUCUGGUGAUCUGUGAUCAGUGAUCUUUGAUGUUACUACUAUAAUUUUUUUGGAUGCUGUGAACUGUGCCCAUAUAAAAUGGUGAAUUAAAUCAACACAAGUUGUGUGGUUCUUCCUGCUCCAAUGACCAGUUAUUCCCUGACCUCUCUCCCUGUUCUCAGACCUUCCUAGCCCCUGAGACAACAGUCUUGAAAUUAGGCUAAUUAACAAUCCUGCAAUGUCAUCUAAGUGUUAAAGUCAAAGGAAGAGUCACAAGUCUCUAACUUUAAAUCAAAAGCUAGAAAUAAUUAAGCUUAGUCAAAAAGGCAUGUUGAAAGCUGAGAUAGGCAGAAAGCUAGGCCUCUUGCACCAAUCAGUUAGUUGAGUUGUGGAUGAAAAGAAAAAGUUUUUGAGGAAAUUAAAAGUACUACUUCAGUGACUGCUCAAAUGAUAAGAAAGUAAAACACCCUUAUGCUAUUAUGGAGGGAGUUUUAAUGGCCUGGACAGAUCAAACUGGCUACAACAUUCCCUUAAGCUAAAGCCUAAUCCAGAGAAAGGCCCUAACUCUCUUCAAUUCUAUGAAGGCUGACAGAGGUGAGGAGGCUAAGGACAAAAAGUUGGAAGCUAGCAGAGGUCAUUCAUGAGGUUUAAGGAAAGAAGUCAUCUCCAUAAAAUAAAAGUACAAGGUAAAGCAGCUUGUGCCAAUGGAAAAGCUGCGUCCAGUCAUC